ensembl:snRNA U6 U6 spliceosomal RNA
GUGCUCACUCCAGCAGCAUAUAUACUAAAAUUGGAAUCAUACAGAAGAUUAGCAUGGCCCUUGCACAAGGAUGACACGAAAACUCGUGAAGUGUUCCAUAUUUUG